ensembl:miRNA
GAGGAGACGAGGAUGCAGGCAGGACCGUUCUGGUCCUUUCUGUGCGCUCCCGCAGUCUUGGGCGGCGUUCUGAAACGACCCGCCUUUUGAGAAAGGAGGCAGCGGGCCAGAGAGAACCGAGCCCGGCCGGGGCGUCGGGCC